rnacentral:rRNA from 1 species
AUUGAACGCUGGCGGCAGGCCUAACACAUGCAAGUCGAACGAGCGGCGUACGUGUGAGUAAUGUCUGGGAAUCUGCCCGAUAGAUGGGGAUAACUACUGGAAACGGUAGCUAAUACCGCAUACUAUCGGAUGACCCCCUAUGGGAUUAGCUAGUAGGUGGGGUAAAGGCUCACCUAGGCGACGAUCUCGAGCUGGUCUGAGAGGAUGAUAAGCCACACUGGGACUGAGACACGGACCAGACGCCUACGGGAGGCAGCAGGGGGGAAGAGUGCAAAAUGGGCGCAAGCCUGAUGCAGCCAUGCCGCGUGUAUGAAGAAGGCCUGAGGGUUGUAAAGUACUUGAAGCGUGGAGGCGUUACCCGCAGAAGAAGCACCGGCUAACUCCGUGCCAGCAGCCGCGGUAAUUC